GACGAACGCUGGCGGCGUGCCUAACACAUGCAAGUCGAGCGAUGAAGUUUCCUUCGGGAAAUGGAUUAGCGGCGGACGGGUGAGUAACACGUGGGUAACCUGCCUCAUAGUGGGGAAUAGCCUUUCGAAAGGAAGAUUAAUACCGCAUAAGGUUGUAGUUUCGCAUGAAACAGCAAUUAAAGGAGCAAUUCGCUAUGAGAUGGACCCGCGGCGCAUUAGCUAGUUGGUGAGGUAACGGCUCACCAAGGCCACGAUGCGUAGCCGACCUGAGAGGGUGAUCGGCCACAUUGGGACUGAGACACGGCCCAG
rnacentral:rRNA from 1 species